UGCCAGACAGAAAGGAGAAUGAUGUUUUCGGUUUUUAUUUUACAUAUAUGAUAAACACACAGAUGAUACAUUGGAAAUGAUCGGCGAAGGAACGAGCGAGUGGGUGAGUGAGUAAGAAAAGAAAACAGCAAUUUUGUGAUUAUAUCAAAUAGAAGAAUAUGAAGACUGAAAGAACAAAGAAUUUCUCUUUCGGGAAGUCAUCUUUCUAAGAAGAGUGUUAAAGCUUAAAAAAAAAAUGCCGAAGUAAAAAAUGAAUGGAUCGUUGUUUCGUAAGAUGAAAGAAAGAGUUCUGGUAAGAGAUAAAGAUCAAAAGGGUCGAAGAUAAAAUAAGAAGAAGAAGGGAAAAAAAACAAGGAGCAAAAACAAACCGAAAAAUAAAAUGUGAUGAGGGAGUCUGACAUGAUCAAAGGAUGUAACUCGAUGUAAGCUGUUUUAUCGAUUCAUGGAAUUAUUUUAAAGUCUGAUCGAGAUUCUUGUACAGUUAAAAAAAUUCAUGUCAAUAGAAAAGGAUCGAUGAAAUAAAAAUGAUUCGACGAAUUUGCGAUCGAUUGUAUGCAAAACAAUAGUUUAGAAUGGUAAGUACAUAUAUGACAUAUUACAUAUAGAUUAAUAAUUAUUCAAAAUGAAACGUUCCGCUUGGCUCGGACAAAUGAAAGGACUUCCGAUCGCACAAAAUUUAUUUUAUGAAUCAUAUCUUCAAAUAUUAUAAAAUCGUUCAAACAAGUGUGAAUAUAUUUUUCUUUUUUCUUAUUAGAUAAGCAAACUUUAACGAAGUUAUAUGUUAGACCUUAAAACGCAUCUAAUCUUGACGUAUCAUGGUAAACCAUCGGACGUGAAAUACCAUGACAUCAUUUUUAGUCAAAUUAAUGCAAACGACUUUUGCCGUUUCCUUUAACGAUUAGCUCGGACGACCACAGAGCCUUCCAAUUGCAAAAUUUAUUUUACGAAUCAUAUCUCAAGUCGAAUCGUCAAAACAAACUAAAUACUAUUUUUCUAUUAGAUAAGCAAACUUUAACGAGCUUUUAAGUUAGAUAUUAAUACGCAACGUAGUUUUAACGUAUCAUAAUAAACAUCGAUUGUGAAAUACCUAAAUGAUAAUGUUUUAAAUCGAAUUAACGCAAAACGUUUUCUCAUUUCCUAACGAUUAGCUUAGACAUCUAAAAUGAUUUCCAAUCGCACAAAAUUUAUUUUACGAACGAUAUCUCCAAAUCGAAUCGUCAAAACUAAUUGAAUAUUCUUUUUCUAUUAGAUAAAGAAACCUUAACGCGCUAUUGAUACGUGCGACUGAAAAGCAUUCCAAUUGCAACAUUUAUGAAUCAUAUUUUUAAGAAAUUAUCAUCGAGUUCCGGCUGACAUGAUCGAAGUCGAACGUAAAAGUUCCGAUCUGCGGUGUUUGAGUUGUCCCCUGACGAAAGCAUGACGUGUAUAUUACUCGGUUAUUUAAAGUGCCAUUUGCUUCCUGUGGAAGGGAACAACGGCCUCGUUUCGACAUUCAACUACCGUUAAGUAUAAUCCAUAUAUACCAAUAACUGUCUUAAUUAUAUACGCAAUAUAAUAAAAUCUGAUGUAGCGAUCCAAUGAGAUUAAGAGAUAGAUAGGUAAGGUAGAUAGAUACAUAGAGAAAAAGAGAAAGAAAGAGAAGAGUCGUCGUCCUCGUAGUCGUUGAGAAUGCCAAACGACCAUCUUCUUAUCCUUAUGUGAUCGCUACGAUCGUUGAAAAUGCAAGAAUGCCGGAUACCGAGAAGGAGAGAGGAAGAGAGAGAGAGAGAGAGAGAGAAGUCUCACAGAAAGUAGACGUUUUACAAACUAUGUAUUUCCUUUUGAAUAUUCCAAAUGAAUCGAGACCACGCGCUAAAAUGCGCGACCAUUCUAACUGUAAAGAAGAAAUCGUAAAAAAGUUUUACAUAAAUAUACGUAAGAAAUAUUAUAGCUUGACCAACGUAAAUGUUUCUUUAACGAGCCGACGGAAUUUUUUUUAUUUAAUAAAGAAUUACUUCCUCUAUACGUGUUCUUUUUUUCUCUUCUUCUUCUUCUUCUUCAUUGUAAUU